GAUGAAGAACGUAGCGAAAUGCGAUAAGUAAUGUGAAUUGCAGAAUUCAGUGAAUCAUCGAAUCUUUGAACGCACAUUGCGCCCCUUGGUAUUCCGGGGGGCAUGCCUGUUCGAGCGUCAUUUCAACCCUCAAGCUCUGCUUGGUAUUGGGCACCGUCCUUUGCGGGCGCGCCUCAAAGACCUCGGCGGUGGCGUCUUGCCUCAAGUGUAGUAGAAUACACCUCGCUUCGGAGCGUAAGGCGUCGCCCGCCGGACGAACCUUCUGAACUUUUCUCAAGGUUGACCUCGGAUCAGGUAGGGAUACCCGCUGAACUUAAGCAUAUCAAUAAGCGGAGGA
rnacentral:misc_RNA from 1 species